GGCACGAUGGCCGAGUGGUCUAAGGCGCUGCACUCAAGUGUAAAAACUUGCGAGUUCACCUCGUAGCAUUGCAGUCUCGAAAGAGGCGUGAGUUCGAGUCUCACUCGUGUCA